rnacentral:tRNA from 1 species
UCACGUGGCGUUCAUGUAGAACGUUGGUUUUACAAUCCAAAGUAACAGAGUUCAAUUCCCUAUACGAGAA